UGUGAACCAGCAGCAGAGGGAGCCCAGUGAUCGAGGGGUGGAGUUAAUGGAACUAAUUAACACUAAGAUACUCUCAUCAGUCUGAUCGUUGGCCUUUAUUGGGUAUUUAUCUGUCUCCUGGUUUCUUUUCAAGGCAGGUGUUUAAGUUAUGGUUUAUGCACACCAGUGCACAUGUGUGAUAUUGGAUCUAAUUAGAAAAAAAAAUACUAAAUGAUGCCAAAACUAAUCCAUAGCUGUCACUCAGAUACUUGAUUUACUGUGUUGCUAAUUCUGCCUUUCUUGCUCCUGUGAGUAGGGCUGACCUUAGGACUUCAGUGGGCUCAGGCACUGAUGGAUUUCAGCGAGAUCUUUUUGCUCAAGGUGAAUCAGGGGGCACUUAAUAAUCCAGAAUAUCUGCAAGAGCUCAUGAGGCUCCUCUCACAGAGCUGCUCUGAUGGGUAGAGUGAUACAACCAGUCUGAACUGAUGCUGCAGCGAGAGAACUGUGGCCUGAAGGAAUCCUUUAAGAACUGCUUGACUAUGGAAAAUGAUGGUCCCUCUCCAAGAGAAUUUUGUGGCCUUAAGGCUUCUAUGCACUGAGCUACAAAAGAAACUAUUUGCAAGCACAGCUGGACAGAAAUGACCACAUCUGCUCAAGUGUGGCCUCGUGCUAGUGCAGAAAUGUGGAGAAAGAUAUUGCUGCAAUGAAGAUGCAGACCUAAUUUUCUACUCAAAGAGAAAUCUGGAGCCAGCAAAAACAUCUUCUUUGUGUACCACAGAAUCCGGAGCAAAGCCAUCUGCUGCUAAAGCAAUACUUAAACUCUCCCUUCUUCUCUCCCUGAAACAAACCACAGAUCCACAAUUUCCAAGUGUGCUGAAUCCACCGGGCUGCAGGAAGGCUGCUGAGGAAUAAAACAAGCUCUGGAAUCCAAGAAGAGGCGAACAGCAGUGAGCAGGGAGGAGGAAGGACCAGUAGUCAUGGGGAUGGAUUUUCCUCCACUGUGCAGUUUCCCUCCACCUUGUCAAACACCUUAUCUUGCAAUUUCGUUCUCAAUUAUUUAAUCUGUUCUGUAGUACAAAUGUUUUCCCUACGUUGGAUUUCAUAUAUAAAUAUCUGCAGAUGGCAUAUUGCUUUCUGAACUGAUAUGACUGUACAUUUACCUGCUUGGAAAGAACAUGCACACCCUAUUAAGUGUAUCAUUGGCCUAAUUGCAAUUAAGAUAAUGAGAUUUUCACUAUAAAUUGAUAUUUUAGCUUAUACUCCACAGAUAUAAAAAUAUUCCUGAAAAGCAAAGCAUGGCACAUUGCAUUAGCACAUGGUGAAAAGGGGCAUUAUUUUUAUUAUUGUUUUUUUCAGUAAAAAUUCAUAUAUUUUGCAGUCACUUAUUUACAAAUAUUAGUAUUCAAUUCAGUGUUUCCCUACUAAAUAUUAGAGUGGACAUUUAUGGGAUAGGAAAGGAACUGUUUUUCUUAGGAUGUGGUAAGUUGCUGUAUAAACUCUUGAAUUAGUACCUGGGUCCACUUAAGCUCUAAUAUCUCAGUCUGUUCUUUUUUGAGAGAGAAUGAUUUUUGAAUGGCAGUGGCAGGAUUGUUGGGAUGAGCAAUACUGAUUAAACUGCAGUUUAGAACUAGUUAUCUGGAAAUAUUGUUGGUUGUCAUGCUACUGUAUUUGCAGAAACUAGGGGUGGGGUGGAGGGAGCCUCUGUCAUCCCCAGACAAACCUCCUGCUUCUCAUAUAUUUCUGUCUAUCCAUGAUGUGUUUGUCCAGCCUGUUUUUUAACCAUCUGUGGUAAUCCUACAUGUGGUAAGCCUAAUUUACUGUUAGGAAGACUCCUUAACACCUCCCCCUAAAACUUCCUUCUCUUUAGUUUAGCCCAUUGCUUUUUAUUCUAGGUGUGAUCUGGCAAAUCUGACAUUUUAACCAAAAAUGCUACAAUCAAGCAAUGUGAAUAUACUUUCCUAAAGCAUUUGUAGAACUUGCUGGUUUUGGUUAUGUCAAAAAUACUACAAAAACAAAGCUUUGCCAAAGUACUUCAGAAAUUCUGCUUCUGGUUGUACCAUAACCCAAGGAAGUGAAUCAGGACUUGAACAUGCAGCGUGCCAGACAGGCGUCAGAACAAGCCAUAAAAAUGCAUUAUGUGUUUAUAAAGGGAAUAAGUCAACAAAAUUAAAAGAUGUUCUGAUUCUAUUUAAAAAUUUCAAAGGUCAAUUUGCUUAUUGACAUACGCCUCUGUUUCUAAUAUAACUCUGUGCAGCCCUUCUUCUGGAGUGUUUGAAGUGGGAUCCCUCGGUUUUACGGUCACACCAACCUGCUGCCUCGUGUGGAUUUAAUUGUGCUGUAACCUGUUGGGAGUUAGAUCACAUCCAGCAUCAGAGGCCUGUGGGUGUAGCUGCUCCUGGUGUGUUCAAGCCCGAUGUCAAAGGUGUGUACGCUGAGUGGGACCUAUGGCUGUGCAGGAGGGAUCGUGGUACAUUGUUUUCAGGCAAAUGCUGGAGUGUCUGUUUGCAAAACAGGUUAAUGGAUACCAGAAUUGUGUUUGCUUUUUAGCAAUGAUCAUGUUGUUUCUAAAGUGCUCAGUAUUAAGUGAUGGGUGAAGCACCAUAAUAGACAGUUUUUGAAAGUCUAAGUUUGUCGUAACUUCUGUUGCACUGACAACAAUGCGUUGGUGAAAAAUUCUCUAGCAUGUCAGUCCUUCGAG